AAGUCGUAACAAGGUUUCCGUAGGUGAACCUGCGGAAGGAUCAUUAUUGUAUAACAGAGGUGCCGGGGCUGUCGCCGACUUUGUGCACGCCCCGGUGCUCUCUCACAAUCCAUCUCACCCCCCUUUGUGCAUCACCGCGUGGGCGCUCUCCUUUUGGUUCAUUCUGAAAAGGGGGGCGUUUGCGUUUUUAUACAGACCACCGCAUGUGUAGAAUGUCUUACUAUUUGCGAUAACACGCAAUCAAUACAA
rnacentral:misc_RNA from 1 species